rnacentral:rRNA from 1 species
GAUGAACGCUGGCGGCGUGCCUAUUACAUGCAAGUCGAGCGAACAGAUGAGGAGCUUGCUCCUCUGACGUUAGCGGCGGACGGGUGAGUAACACGUGGAUAACCUACCUAUAAGACUGGGAUAACUUCGGGAAACCGGAGCUAAUACCGGAUAAUAUAUUGAACCGCAUGGUUCAAUAGUGAAAGACGGUUUUGCUGUCACUUAUAGAUGGAUCCGCGCCGCAUUAGCUAGUUGGUAAGGUAACGGCUUACCAAGGCGACGAUGCGUAGCCGACCUGAGAGGGUGAUCGGCCACACUGGAACUGAGACACGGUCCAGACUCCUACGGGAGGCAGCAGUAGGGAAUCUUCCGCAAUGGGCGAAAGCCUGACGGAGCAACGCCGCGUGAGUGAUGAAGGUCUUCGGAUCGUAAAACUCUGUUAUUAGGGAAGAACAAAUGUGUAAGUAACUAUGCACGUCUUGACGGUACCUAAUCAGAAAGCCACGGCUAACUACGUG